rnacentral:rRNA from 1 species
CCUACGGGGGGCUGCAGUGGGGAAUAUUGGACAAUGGGCGAAAGCCUGAUCCAGCCAUGCCGCGUGUGUGAAGAAGGCCUUCGGGUUGUAAAGCACUUUCAGUGGGGAAGAAAGCCUUGGGGCUAAUACCCUCGAGGAAGGACAUCACCCACAGAAGAAGCACCGGCUAACUCCGUGCCAGCAGCCGCGGUAAUACGGAGGGUGCGAGCGUUAAUCGGAAUUACUGGGCGUAAAGCGCGCGUAGGCGGUCUGAUAAGCCGGUUGUGAAAGCCCCGGGCUCAACCUGGGAACGGCAUCCGGAACUGUCAGGCUAGAGUGCAGGAGAGGAAGGUAGAAUUCCCGGUGUAGCGGUGAAAUGCGUAGAGAUCGAGAGGAAUACCAGUGGCGAAGGCGGCCUUCUGGACUGACACUGACGCUGAGGUGCGAAAGCGUGGGUAGCAAACAGGAUUAGAUACCCUAGUAGUC